rnacentral:rRNA from 1 species
AAAAAUGUCAUUGUCAAAAGGGAAACAGCCCAGAUCUACAGCUAAGGUCCCAAAGUCAGGUUAAGUGGAAAACGACGUGAAGAUACGUAGACAACCAGGAUGUUGGCUCAGAAGCAGCCACUCAUUCAAAGAGUGCGUAAUAGCUCACUGGUCGAGCGUCUUUGCGCGGAGAAUUUAACGGGGCUAAACCUGACACCGAAGCUUAGGCAGCAUGAUUACAUGCUGGGUAGGGGAGCGUUGUAUACGCGGUGAAACAGCAGCGCAAGCGGCUGUGGAGUGUAUAGAAGUGAGAAUGCCGGAAUGAGUAGCGCGAAUGCAGUGAGAAUCUGCAUGGCCGAAAGCCUCAGUUUUCUGGAGGAAGGUUCGUCCGCUCCAGGUCAGGCGGGAGCUAAGGUGAGGCCUAACGGCGUAGCCGAUGCACAGACGGUAGAGAUUCCGUCACCACCAAAAGAGUUAAGCACAGGGACACAUAUGAAGUCUCGGAGCCGGGUGUUGGUUCCGGUAGCGAUCGAGGGAAGUUAGUACCGAAGUCCGGGAUGGAAGAUGGCGAGAAAAGCUGUGUGUAUUUCUGCGGUGCCCGUACCGCAAACCGACACAGGUGGGUAGGAAGAAGAUUCUAAGGCCAACGGGAGAAGGGUUGUUAAGGAACUCGGCAAAUUGACCCCGUAACUUCGGGAGAAGGGGUGCUGCAGCAAUGCAGCCGCAGAGAAUCGGCCCAAGCAACUGUUUACCAAAAACACAGGUUUGUGCUAAAUCGAAAGAUGACGUAUACGAGCUGACGCCUGCCCGGUGCUGGAAGGUUAAGAGGAGAUGUGCAAGCAUUGAAUCGAAGCCCCAGUGAACGGCGGCCGUAACAAUAACGGUCCUAAGGUAGCGAAAUUCCUUGUCAGGUAAGUUCUGACCCGCAUGAAAGGCGUAAUGAUUUGGGCACUGUCUCAACAGCCCGCCCGGCGAAAUUGUAGUACCGGUGAAGAUGCCGGUUACCCGCGACAAGACGGAAAGACCCCAUGGAGCUUUACUGUAGCCUAAUAUUGGGUUUCGAUGUUGCAUGCACAGGAUAGAUGGGACACAGGGAAGCAGGUGCUUUGGCGCUUGUGGAGUGGCCGUUGGGAUACCAUCCUUGCGAUAUUGGAAUUCUAACCUGCGCCUUUGAAUCAAGGCGGGGGACAUUGUUAGGUGGGCAGUUUGACUGGGGCGGUCGCCUCCUAAAGAGUAACGGAGGCGUUCAAAGGUUCGCUCAGCUUGAACGGAAAUCAAGCAAAAGAGUGCAAACGCAGAAGCGAGCCUAACUGCGAGACUGACGGGUCGAGCAGUAACGAAAGUUAGAGUUAGUGAUCCGGUGGUAUGUGAGUGGAAAUGCCAUCGCUCAACGGAUAAAAGUUACCCUGGGGAUAACAGGCUGAUCUCCCCCAAGAGUCCACAUCGACGGGGAGGUUUGGCACCUCGAUGUCGGCUCAUCGCAUCCUGGGGCUGUAUUCGGUCCCAAGGGUUUGGCUGUUCGCCAAUUAAAGCGGUACGCGAGCUGGGUUCAGAACGUCGUGAGACAGUUCGGUCCCUAUCUGUCGUGGGCGCAGGAUAUUUGAUGGGAGCUGUUCCUAGUACGAGAGGACCGGAGCGGACGUACCUCUGGCGCACCAGUUGUUCUGCCAAGAGCAUAGCUGGGCAACUAUGUACGGAUCGGAUAAACGCUGAAAGCAUCUAAGCGUGAAGCCGACCCAAAGAUAAGAUAUCCCAUUGUUUUAAACAAGUAAGACCCCUUGAAGACUACAAGGUUGAUAGGCACGAUGUGUAAGUGGAGCGAUCCAUUCAGCAAGCGUGUACUAAUAGGUCGAGGGCUUGACC